AGUGAACGCUGGCGGUAGGCCUAACACAUGCAAGUCGAACGGCAGCACAGUAAGAGCUUGCUCUUACGGGUGGCGAGUGACGGACGGGUGAGGAAUACAUCGGAAUCUACUUUUUCGUGGGGGAUAACGUAGGGAAACUUACGCUAAUACCGCAUACGACCUACGGGUGAAAGCAGGGGAUCUUCGGACCUUGCGCGAUUGAAUGAGCCGAUGUCGGAUUAGCUAGUUGGCGGGGUAAAGGCCCACCAAGGCGACAAUCCGUAGCUGGUCUGAGAGGAUGAUCAGCCACACUGGAACUGAGACACGGUCCAGACUCCUACGGGAGGCAGCAGUGGGGAAUAUUGGACAAUGGGCGCAAGCCUGAUCCAGCCAUACCGCGUGGGUGAAGAAGGCCUUCGGGUUGUAAAGCCCUUUUGUUGGGAAAGAAAAGCAGCAGGUUAAUACCCCGCUGUUCUGACGGUACCCAAAGAAUAAGCACCGGCUAACUUCGUG
rnacentral:rRNA from 1 species